GACAGAGGUGCCAAGCGUUAGGCGGAAUCACUGGGCUUAAGGCGUGUGUAGGCGGGUCGUUAAGUACCUUGUGAAAUCCCACGGCUCACCCGUGGAACUGCUGGGUAUACUGGCGAUCUUGGGCCAUUUAGGGGCAACUGGAACAAGCGGUGGAGCGGUGAAAUGCGUAGAUAUCUGGAGGAACACCGGUGGCGAAGGCGGCGUUCUGGACUGCAACUGACACUGAGGAACGAAAGCCAGGGGAGCAAACGGG
rnacentral:rRNA from 1 species